rnacentral:rRNA from 1 species
GAUGAACGCUGGCGGCGUGCUUAACACAUGCAAGUCGAACGAAGCACUUACGACAGAAUCCUUCGGGAGGAAGAUGUAAAUGACUGAGUGGCGGACGGGUGAGUAACGCGUGGGUAACCUGCCCUAUACAGGGGGAUAACAGUUAGAAAUGACUGCUAAUACCGCAUAACCCGCUAGUAUCGCAUGAUGCAGACGGAAAGAUUUAUUGGUAUAGGAUGGGCCCGCGUCUGAUUAGCUAGUUGGUAAGGUAACGGCUUACCAAGGCGACGAUCAGUAGCCGGCUUGAGAGAGUGAACGGCCACAUUGGGACUGAGACACGGCCCAA